AUUGAACGCUGGCGGCAGGCCUAACACAUGCAAGUCGAACGGUAACAGAAAGCAGCUUGCUGCUUUGCUGACGAGUGGCGGACGGGUGAGUAAUGUCUGGGAAACUGCCUGAUGGAGGGGGAUAACUACUGGAAACGGUAGCUAAUACCGCAUAACGUCGCAAGACCAAAGAGGGGGACCUUCGGGCCUCUUGCCAUCGGAUGUGCCCAGAUGGGAUUAGCUAGUAGGUGGGGUAACGGCUCACCUAGGCGACGAUCCCUAGCUGGUCUGAGAGGAUGACCAGCCACACUGGAACUGAGACACGGUCCAGACUCCUACGGGAGGCAGCAGUGGGGAAUAUUGCACAAUGGGCGCAAGCCUGAUGCAGCCAUGCCGCGUGUAUGAAGAAGGCCUUCGGGUUGUAAAGUACUUUCAGCGGGGAGGAAGGGAGUAAUGUUAAUACCUUUGCUCAUUGACGUUACCCGCAGAAGAAGCACCGGCUAACUCCGU
rnacentral:rRNA from 1 species